rnacentral:rRNA from 1 species
UACGAAGGGGGCUAGCGUUGCUCGGAAUUACUGGGCGUAAAGGGUGCGUAGGCGGGUUUUUAAGUUAGGGGUGAAAUCCUGGAGCUCAACUCCAGAACUGCCUUUGAUACUGAAGAUCUUGAAUUCGGGAGAGGUGAGUGGAACUGCGAGUGUAGAGGUGAAAUUCGUAGAUAUUCGCAAGAACACCAGUGGCGAAGGCGGCUCACUGGCCCGAUACUGACGCUGAGGCACGAAAGCGUGGGGAGCAAACAGG